rnacentral:rRNA from 1 species
CCUACGGGUGGCUGCAGUGGGGAAUAUUGGACAAUGGGCGCAAGCCUGAUCCAGCCAUGCCGCGUGAGUGAUGAAGGCCCUAGGGUUGUAAAGCUCUUUCGCCAGGGACGAUAAUGACGGUACCUGGAUAAGAAGCCCCGGCUAACUUCGUGCCAGCAGCCGCGGUAAUACGAAGGGGGCUAGCGUUGUUCGGAAUCACUGGGCGUAAAGCGCACGUAGGCGGAUCUUUAAGUCAGAGGUGAAAUCCCAAGGCUCAACCUUGGAACUGCCUUUGAUACUGGGGAUCUUGAGUCCGGGAGAGGUGAGUGGAACUGCGAGUGUAGAGGUGAAAUUCGUAGAUAUUCGCAAGAACACCAGUGGCGAAGGCGGCUCACUGGCCCGGAACUGACGCUGAGGUGCGAAAGCGUGGGGAGCAAACAGGAUUAGAUACCCCAGUAGUCAC